CUAGUUCUUUGUAUAAAAAUUAAUUAACUCAAAUAGUAGAAAUUAUUUUAUAUCUAAUUGAUAUCACAAAAUAGGAUUGUGUAGGGGCUAUAGAUGGGACACAUGUUGUUGCAAGUGUACCCCUUGAAAUUCAAGGAAAAUUUCGAGGUCGAAAGGGUUACCCAACUCAAAAUGUGUUAGCUGCUAUUUCUUUCGACCUCAAGUUUUCAUACGUGCUUGCUGGUUGGGAAGGAUCGGCACACGAUUCUCGUGUUCUUGAAGAUGCUCUUACAAGACCAAGGGGUCUACAAGUACUGCAAGACAAGUACUAUCUUGUAGAUGCUGGAUAUGGCAUUCGCAACGGUUUCAUUCCUCCUUAUUCUGGAGUUCGAUAUCACCUAAAGGAGUAUGAUGACAAUCCCCCUCAAAAUGAAAAGAGCUUUUCAAUCUUCGUCACUCCUCAUUGCGAACAACCAUUGAACGAGGCUUUGGUGUUUUAAAGAAACGAUUUAAGGUGGUGGAUAAUGAUCCUUUUUGGGAUUUUAAAACCCAAGUAGAUGUGAUUCUAGCAUGUUGUAUCAUACAUAAUCACAUUAUGGGUAUAGCUCCAAAUGACAUGUUCAUGGAAGAGGUCAUUCAAGAGGAACAAUCUGAAACUCCAAAUGUUCUGACUGAACAAGCAUCUUACACACAGCCUUAUCAAACACAAAGUGAGAGACGAGCAGAAAAUAGAGAAUGGGCAAGGAAAAGAGACGCAAUUGCACAUGCUAUGUAUGUAGAUUACAUGCAAAGAAGACAAAGUAGAUAAUCUAGAUGGUGGUUGUAGUUUCUUUUUUAGUUUUGUUUUGUUUUAUGAUAAUGCUGGUUCGUUGGAUGCCAUGUAAGGUUGUCUUUGGCUCUAUAUGAGUGAUUUAUCUAUGUAGAGGUCUCGGCGUUCUGCCUGCAUAUAUAUGAAUAAAUCUGCCUGAUCAUUGAAAGAUUGCAGAAUUUUU